UACGAAGGGGGCUAGCGUUGCUCGGAAUCACUGGGCGUAAAGCGCACGUAGGCGGCUUUCUAAGUCAGGGGUGAAAUCCUGGAGCUCAACUCCAGAACUGCCUUUGAUACUGGAGAGCUUGAGUCCGGGAGAGGUGAGUGGAACUCCGAGUGUAGGGGUGAAAUUCGUAGAUAUUCGGAAGAACACCAGUGGCGAAGGCGGCUCACUGGCCCGGUACUGACGCUGAGGUGCGAAAGCGUGGGGAGCAAACAGG
rnacentral:rRNA from 1 species